AUGUCCGAAACCUCAGUAUUCAUAAAAGAGUAGUCGAGAAGUUCCCGGAUGUCCUACUGCUUCUGCCCAGCUUCUUGAGUGCUCGCCGAUGGUUACUUUUCUAUCCCAGGAGGCCACGCGAGAGGAUACAUCAUAAAGAAGAAGAAGAGGAUGCGUCAUAAUCGAACAUGGCGGAAAAUUUGGAUGAGGGUGUUUACACAUGGACAGAUGAGACACACGUCUGCUUAUCCGGCGGAGACGAGAGCGGCUAAUGAAGCAAUGCUGCCAUCAAAGGCUUUGAAGCUUUUGUGGUGGAGCAGGACCUGCAAGG